CAACAGGAGGGGCGGAGCUCACCCACCCCGGGGCUCCCACACUCCCGGACAGCCCACCUUAGACAUCAACGGACAACAUCAGCCCACGUCGGCACCUCGCCCUUCCCGGCAGGCUCUAAUUUAGAAGCGUUUGCAGAGCUGAUGAGCGGCAGUUCCUAUCAGCGCUGUGCAAAUGAGCCAUCAGCCCCAGGGCUGCCCCAUACAAAACGCUCCACCCGCAGCCGCGGCCCCUUUGGCUUUCCAGCGGAUCUCAGGGGUGGAAACACCCCCCUAAUGGCCCCCGUUGGGUGCAGCAGCCCACCCAGCCCCACGUGGGGAGGUCGUGAUGUUAUUCAUUUUAUCGCUUCAUUUUACUUUAUUUACUCCUUCUCUUUACUCGCCCACCUGGGGUUCCGCCCUGCCGUGCUGAGAGCCCCUCUCCCACACGGCGGCCGAGUUUUGGGGCCCGCAGUUGUGAGCGAGCAGCGCGAGGAUGAGGGAUGGGAGGAAGGUCCUCGUUUUGCUGCUGGGGGCGGCGGGGGGGGAUGCAGCUGUCCAAGCGAAUUACGGCCACGCAGCGGCUGUGUUGGUUACGCUCUACAGCACCCGACAGAGCACCUGGAAAUUCAUUUGUCACCGGAGGAGAAAGGAAGGAAGCAAGUGAGGUUCCUGCUUUACACCCAUGAGAAGCAAAUCACACCCAGGAAGGCAUCCCCUCGUUGGGCCGCUCCUGCAGGUGCUGCCAAAGCCUUUCAGCUCAGCCUGAGCUCCCACAGCCCCACCCGAGGACUCAAUGGCCAACUCUGCAUUACCACAGCUGGAUGUCCUGCGGAAAAAUCCCGGCGUUCAUCUGCCUCACCACGUGUGUGAGGCUGAAUUCAUCAGCAGUUUCCACUGAGGAGGGGUUCCCUCUUUCUCAUGGGAUCCAAUGGGGCUCAAAUGUCCACCUGGGCUUCCAGCCUUGGCCAGGAGGUGUGAAUCGCCGAUGGGUUCACCGCGGGGAUCCCCGUGCGUGGCAGUGGCUGAGGUCUGGGCUGGGGAUGUGGACAACUGCUUCAGCAGCGGGCGGCCAAUGGCUCUGCAGUGCUGCUCCUGCUGUGCUCAGCGUCUGCUGCCCAUUCCCCUUUGGCUGGAGGGGAGCAGAGCCCUGGAGCUGAGCAUACAGGCACCUCCGCGUGCCUCGGUUCCCAUAGCACGACCCAGAGGUGCACCUUUGGGGUGCUUAGAAGAGGUUGCUGCAGGAAAACCCCUGUAAGAACCAC
ensembl:lncRNA